UACGUAGGGGGCAAGCGUUGUCCGGAUUUAUUGGGCGUAAAGAGCGUGUAGGCGGCUAGGUAGGUCCGUUGUGAAAACUCGAGGCUCAACCUCGAGACGCCGAUGGAAACCAUCUAGCUAGAGUCCGGAAGAGGAGAGUGGAAUUCCUGGUGUAGCGGUGAAAUGCGCAGAUAUCAGGAAGAACACCCGUGGCGAAGGCGGCUCUCUGGGACGGUACUGACGCUGAGGCACGAAAGCGUGGGUAGCAAACAGG
rnacentral:rRNA from 1 species